rnacentral:pre_miRNA from 1 species
UCUUAUGGAUGAGCAAAGAAAGUAGUUUCUUGAGAUAGAAUCUACUCUUCAAGAUGAUGCUAUGAA